GGUAAACCACGUUGAUUCAGUCAAUUUUCUAUGGGAAAAUGAUUGUCAUAUCCUUACAUGUUCGUACCAUUAAAAACGAUACAUUUUGCUUCUGGUUGGUUUUAUGUGCCUUCGCAUUCCAUUCUUGCCAUUACUACGAAAAACAAACCAGAAAAACUAGCGAAGACGAAGAAGGAAAUUUUUUGAAUCGGAGCAAUACAGGUCUUCAAAAAGAGUAAAUACAUCAAACCCAAUAUUUAUUUAUCUUCAUUUUGCUCAUAUUAGAUGGUUAAUUGGAUUAAUUUGUUACAUGCAAUAGAAAUUGAGUUUAGGAUUCUUCGAAUUGGGGGUUUUACUGAUAUGUGUUUUUUGAUGUUUUGGUUCCGAUCUUGUUUUGUGGUAUCUUGGCGGUUGUUCUUUGUUUCUAUGGUGGUUGCACUUCGAAUUUUGCAUCUGACCAUCGAAUGAUGGUGAGAAAGUACUGGUUUCCUUUUGUUGUUUAUUAUUUUGAAGCUAAGAAUAUUAUUUCCGUAUAAUUUUAAUUUCUGAUCUUCAAAAAUCAAUUCAAGUAAUAAUAUUCUUAGCUUCAAUUGUACUCUUAAUGGGUUGAUCUGUAUUGCUUCAAAUUGGAAUUAGCUUAUUUGGUUUGGUUCCUGAUCGGAUCUAGCUGUCAUGCAUCAUGAUGAAUGGUGAUUUUGAAAUUGGGUAUUUGAUGUUGUACAUCUGAUUGAUGUUAAGGAGUAGAAAAAAGAAGAACUUUUUAAGUGUAAUUGGUUUUGAGUAAUGGGGUUGCGAGAUGAUGAAGCCUUAGAAAGGAGAAGUAGUACCGAUGGAAGGUAAUGGGUUUAAUGUAAAAGAAAUUGUCUAUGGUGGUGGAGGUGGAAGUGGAUAUGGUGGUGCUGGGUAUGGAAGGGAUGCAUAUGGUGGUAGUUCUGGUUAUUAUGCUGCACCUGCAACUUCUUAUGCUUAUAGUUAUGGGUAGCAGGAAUUUGUUGUCCCAAGUGGUUGGGAUUAAGGAACUGUUCAUGAUCUCUUGCUAGUUACCACUUAACUACAUAACUGAAAGAAGACAUCGGCAAUUGGUGAUGAUGAUCUUCAUUACUCUAUUUGAGGUAUUUCCCACCCAAUAAUGUACAUACACAAACGUGUUUUUUUUCCUGCUAUUAUAACUCAACUACUGUUUGUAGUGACUACUAGUGCUAAUUCUUCUUUCAGAAUCCAUAAAUUAAAGCAUUUUGUUUUAUCUAUUAAA